UGGAGAAUAAAUUAUUUCAUACAAAUUACAUAUAUAAUUAAACUAAUAAAAUUUAGGACCAAUUUUUUUUUUAUAUAUAUAUAUAUAAGCUAUAUGGUACAGACAUGUAUCCCUGCACUUGUGCUUGUGGAUUGGGUACUUCAUGUUGGGUCACAUGUAUAUUGUGUAGCCUUAACCUUACUGAAUUUAAUAUGCUCUACAGAAACGAUUUCUUAUAGCCAUUAUUACUCCCCAUAAUGUUGUGCCAUAUAGCUUACAAAAAUUUAAUAUCAUGAACAAAGUAGCAAAAACACAACAAAAAAAUAACAAUUAAAAAUGGACCAACAAUUUUCAAUCUUUUGAAAAAUGAUAAGGACCCAUUAAAGGACAUAGAAUGGAGUCGGAUUUAUAAAAUACCAGUGGAGAAUGCCAGCACCAAAAAAAAAUGGCAUACAUAAGACUAAUAAAAUGGAUGCUCGCUCAAAGACUGGAUGAACACAAGCAUGACAUAUCCAAAGGAAAACUUUCAACCGCAUUGUCUGUUGAAGCAUACGCCAAUGAUUUGCAGAUAAACUGGAAACAGUCAAGAAUUAUUAGACCAUUAAAUACCCCUAACCAAACUCUGACUAUAGAGGCCAUAGGAAGUUAUUGCAAGACAGAAGAUAGAAAACAUCAUAUAUAUAAAUAGUCAAACGUAACCGGCUGAUGGAUGUCCCUUUUUCGGUCGAACCACUGUAUCGAUUUUUACAACUAAG
rnacentral:lncRNA from 1 species